GACGAACGCUGGCGGCGUGCUUAACACAUGCAAGUCGAACGAUGACGACCGAGCUUGCUCGGUCUGAUUAGUGGCGAACGGGUGAGUAACACGUGAGCAACCUGCCCUUCACUCUGGGAUAACCUCGGGAAAUCGGGGCUAAUACCGGAUAUGAGCUCCUGUCGCAUGGCGGGUGUUGGAAAGUUUUUCGGUGAAGGAUGGGCUCGCGGCCUAUCAGUUUGUUGGUGAGGUAGUGGCUCACCAAGGCGAUGACGGGUAGCCGGCCUGAGAGGGCGACCGGCCACACUGGGACUGAGACACGGCCCAGACUCCUACGGGAGGCAGCAGUGGGGAAUAUUGCACAAUGGGCGAAAGCCUGAUGCAGCGACGCCGCGUGAGGGAUGACGGCCUUCGGGUUGUAAACCUCUUUCAGCAGGGAAGAAGCGAAAGUGACGGUACCUGCAAAAGAAGCGCCGGCUAACUACGUG
rnacentral:rRNA from 1 species